AUGAUGGACAUGGAACAACCCAGAGAGUUGAACACCAGCCCCGUGUUGAGCCUCAAGCCCAAGGAGCCUUCACUGGGAGAUCAUGGAACUGUAACGCUUGCGGUUGCCCUGACCCUGAGCACUGAGGGUGAUGUCAGCAGCCUGGACAAUUCCAGAACAAAUUCAUAUCCCCCUCAGCAUCUCUUGGGGCACAAAGGCAAAACCGGCAUUGAUGACCUGAAGGCCAAGCGCAAGAAGAAGCUGUACAAUUCUAAAAGCACCGAGAGUGUGAAAAGCAUUGUCCCACACCAGCCCCAGCCUGCCAGGCUGAAGGAUAUGCUGGAAAAGGCAUCCUCAAAUUGGGAUCAAGAGGAGAUGGAGUCACAUUUAAACUGGCAAGCACUGAACCCCUGGGAUGUAGCUGGUGUGUUUUACCCUUCCGGCCACCUCAGAGAUGAGGAGGAAGUUCCUGCUGCCAGGAAGAACUAUGUCAGGACACACAAGUGGCACAAGAAUGAGGACAGCAACUAUUGGAUUGGACCUAAUCAACUUUUCUACCAUGGUUGGAGACCUGUGGAAUUGAAGCGAAAGCCCAAAACUUUCCAGAUUCUAAACAGGAACCUGGAUUUUCUCUCUGACCCAUUGGCUCAGAUCCGCCCCGUUGUGAGCAGCAGGGGAGAGGCCGUGGCUGAAAGGGAGCAUUCCUCUCUAGGUGGGCACCGCCAGAUCAUGCCUGCCACCACAGAGGAGGAAGGGUCUGUGUUCCUCAAUAAACCUGUGAGCCCCCAAAUUUCAGACCUUGCCCCGGUUCCAAAAGAGCUCUUGGAUACCACAGUCAAUCAUCACCUGCGCUUGCUGGAGCCAGACAAAGACAAAGGCCUGCGGUCGUUCAUGGCCCACGUGAAGCGAGCCCUGAGGAUGGACUGCAGCCUGCCCCAGCUCAAGCAGGCCUGUGCCAAGAUGGUCUUGAAGAUGAAGCUGCUUCUAAAGGAGCUCAGCAAGAGGCAAGAGAACCAGGGAGCCUCUGAUCCCAUGGACCAGUGUCCUCUGCAAGACAACAUCUCCAGACGCACGGCCUUGGUGGAGGACAAAGAACUCACAGGGAAGGUAGGAGAGCUGCUGGGCACUGCUGCAUGUGUGUGUCCUCCUGGGCAAAGGAGAAUGGGAAGAUCAAUCCUCUGUCUCCCUGUGAUUAUCUUUGCUUUCCUCUCAACAGAAACUGGAGGCCGUGGUGUACGUGAUCACGUUUGUGGUUUUGCUGUCUUUCUUUGUCUUCGUUUCGCUGAUACUGAAGUGUGUUUUCCAUGUAAGCCUUGUUUGACACAUAUCUGUCUGUCUUGUAGCUGGAGUGCCGGGGUGAUGAGCCCCAUGUGCCACUGCAGAUGCCCCUGCACGUGCUGGGUGCCACAGGAGAGGUUUUCCCAAGCCUGGAGCUUGUGGCAGCAUCCACAGCACCCAGCUCAGCAGGGUUCAGCCUGCCAGGGGAAAGCUUGUCCUACCUUCUGUCCCACUUCUCCCCAGCUUUGCUUUGCUCUCCUGCCUUCAGCCACACAGCAAUGA
rnacentral:lncRNA from 1 species